GCCCAGAUAGCUCAGUUGGUAGAGCAGAGGACUGAAAAUCCUCGUGUCGCUGGUUCGAUUCCGGCUCUGGGCACGA
rnacentral:tRNA from 4 species